UACGGGGGGGCAAGCGUUGUUCGGAAUUACUGGGCGUAAAGGGCGCGUAGGCGGCCUGCUAAGUCACACGUGAAAUCCCUCGGCUCAACCGGGGAACUGCGUGUGAUACUGGCGGGCUUGAAUUCGGGAGAGGGAUGUGGAAUUCCAGGUGUAGCGGUGAAAUGCGUAGAUAUCUGGAGGAACACCGGUGGCGAAGGCGGCAUCCUGGACCAACACUGACGCUGAGGAGCGAAAGCCAGGGGAGCAAACGGG
rnacentral:rRNA from 1 species